rnacentral:lncRNA from 1 species
AGCCUAUGGUCGAUGAUCAAUGGCCACACAACCCCCAUUUUGUCGAAAAUAGCCAUGAAUGACCAUUUACAAUAAUACCGAAGGCUAACACCUACGGAUUUUUGACCAAGAAAUGGUCUCCACCAGAAAUCCAAGAAUGUGAUCUAUGGCAAGGAAACAUAUGUGGGGUGAUGUGUAUGAGCCUCUGGUCGAUGAUCAAUGGCCACACAACCCCCAUUUUUGUCGAAAAUAGCCAUGAACGACCAUUUUCAAUAAUAUCGAAGGCUAACACCUACGGAUUUUUGACCAAGAAAUGGUCUCCACCAGAAAUCCAAGAAUGUGAUCUAUGACAAGGAAACAUUUGUGGGGUGAGGUGUAUGAGCCUCUGGUCGACGAUCAAUGGCCACACAACCCCCAUUUUGCCGAAAAUAGCCAUGAAUGACCAUUUUCAAUAAUACCGAAGGCUAACACGUACGAGUUUUUAACCAAGAAAUGGCUUCCACCAGAAAUCCAAGAAUGUAAUCUAUGGCAAGGAAACAUAUGUGGGGUGAGGUUUAUGAGCCUCUAGUCGAUGAUAAAUGGCCACACAACCCCCAUUUUUUAUGAAAAUAGCCAUGAGCGACCUUGAAAAUAGCCAUGAGCGACCAUUUUCAAUAAUACUAGAGGCUAACACCUACGGAUUUUAGACCAAGAAAUGGUCUCCACCAGAAAUCCAAGAAUGUGAUCUACGACAAGGAAACAUAUGUGGGGUGAGGUGUAUGAGCCUCUGGUCGACGAUCAAUGGCCACACAACCCCCAUUUUGCCGAAAAUAGCCAUGAAUGACCAUUUUCAAUAAUACCGAAGGCUAACACGUACGAGUUUUUAACCAAGAAAUGGCUUCCACCAGAAAUCCAAGAAUGUAAUCUAUGGCAAGGAAACAUAUGUGGGGUGAGGUUUAUGAGCCUCUAGUCGAUGAUAAAUGGCCACAC